rnacentral:miRNA from 1 species
AAUACAGGUAUUUAUUGAAAGGAAUUUCGUGUAUAAGUGGACCCAUGCAGUUCAAAUCUGUGUUGUUCAAGGGUCAACUGUAUAUAUUCU